rnacentral:rRNA from 1 species
AGCUUGCUUUUCUGAUCUAGUGGCGGACGGGUGACUAACACGUGAGCAAUCUGCCUUUCAGAGGGGGAUACCGAUUGGAAACGAUCGUUAAUACCGCAUAACAUAAUUGAACUGCAUGAUUUGAUUAUCAAAGAUUUAUCGCUGAAAGAUGAGCUCGCGUCUGAUUAGCUAGUUGGUAAGGUAACGGCUUACCAAGGCGACGAUCAGUAGCCGGACUGAGAGGUUGAUCGGCCACAUUGGGACUGAGACACGGCCCAGACUCCUACGGGAGGCAGCAGUGGGGAAUAUUGCACAAUGGAGGAAACUCUGAUGCAGCGAUGCCGCGUGAGGGAAGAAGGUUUUAGGAUUGUAAACCUCUGUCUUCAGGGACGAAAAAAAGACGGUACCUGAGGAGGAAGCUCCGGCUAACUACGUGCCAGCAGCCGCGGUAAUACGUAGGGAGCGAGCGUUGUCCGGAAUUACUGGGUGUAAAGGGAGCGUAGGCGGGAUCGCAAGUCAGAUGUGAAAACUAUGGGCUUAACCCAUAAACUGCAUUUGAAACUGUGGUUCUUGAGUGAAGUAGAGGUAAGCGGAAUUCCUAGUGUAGCGGUGAAAUGCGUAGAUAUUAGGAGGAACAUCA